UACGUAGGGUGCAAGCGUUGUCCGGAAUUAUUGGGCGUAAAGAGCUCGUAGGCGGUUUGUCGCGUCUGCUGUGAAAACUCGAGGCUCAACCUCGCGCCUGCAGUGGGUACGGGCAGACUAGAGUGCGGUAGGGGAGAUUGGAAUUCCUGGUGUAGCGGUGGAAUGCGCAGAUAUCAGGAGGAACACCGAUGGCGAAGGCAGAUCUCUGGGCCGUAACUGACGCUGAGGAACGAAAGCGUGGGGAGCGAACAGG
rnacentral:rRNA from 1 species